rnacentral:sRNA from 1 species
CCAGGUCCCUCCCCUCUUUCCCCAUCCCUUCUUCCUCCAUUUCUCUUCAGAAAGAGCAGGCCUCCGAUGAAUAUCAACCAGGAAUGGCAUAUCAAGUUGCAGUGAGACUAGGCACAUCUCUUAUUGAGGGUGGACAAGGCAGCCCAGUUAGGGGAAAGGGUCCCAGCAACAGGCAGCAGAGUCAGAGACAGCUCCUGUUCCCACUGGUAGGAGUCCCACGAGAACACUAAGCUACACAACUGUAACAUAUUUCACCUGGUUCUUCAGUAAAAUACAGAAAAUAUAAUCAUCCCAGUAUUCAAUGUUUCAUAUACGAUGUAGGAAGAAAUAUGGGCCCAAAUUGGGCUAGCUUGAGGGAGGUUAUGUAAGGAUUACAAAACACAACACAACAAAAGAAACCCAUUUGUCCUCCAAUGAUGGGGAGAAUAAGUAAUCUUUACACUGAAAAUCGGUGAGAAUUGGAGGAAGGGAAAACCUCUCACAAGUUUGGAGUCCUAUUGUUUUAAACCAUGCUGUCUAUGGUCAGGUUACAAAGACCUAGUGGAUGAAUGCAAGAUGAAAUUUUGUGCAGUCUAGAAACAGAGUAUAGUUACCAACUCCCACCUCCACUAUUACUCAAAGCAAGAAGCAUAUAUCUUUUCCCACUUGCCAGAGGAGGAGGUGUGAAGUAAAAGUAACAUGCCCACCCUAGUAUGGUUGCAAUGUUCAAAUGAUGAUCACACAGGUCUUAGCACACCAACCUCUUGUCAAAACUAAACCUAUACUAUCUCAAAUUAUAUGACUAUGUGAUGUGUGUAGGUCCUGGGAGGUCAGAAUUACUCUAACAGUGAGUCAAUGCCACUGACAUUCCCUUGGUCCUGCCCGCUGCCUGAAAUGCAGUGAUAUUCUAUAGUCAGGUUCAAAUGCAUGUCAGGAAUGGCUCUGAAUGAACAGAGAAGAUAUACUUAACAAACAGCAAGCAAGCACAUGAAACUGACUCAACAUUACCAAUCACUAGAGAAAUGGCAAUCAAAAUCUCACUAAGACCAUCUCACACCCAUUAGGAGGGCUACUAUCAGAAGUCAGAAAACAGAAAAUAAGUGUUAUUAAGGUCACAGAGAGACUGUAAUACUUAUGUGAGGCUAAUGGUAAUAGAAAAUAGUUUAUUCACUGUGGAAGUUUGGUAGCUCCUUACAGAAUUAAACACAAUUACCAUGUGAUCUAGCAGCUUCAUUUGAGAAUAUAAACCUAAAUUAUAUGUAGGGACCUAUAGUUGACUUUCCUAUAUCCGUCUUCACAGAAGCAUUGUUCACUGUAGCCAAAAAGUAAAAGUAUCCUAAAUUUCCACUGAUGCAUGAGCUGAUAAAAUGUGGUCCAUUUAAAUCAUACAGCAAGAUAUUAUGCAGACAUAAAGAAGAACGAAAUUCUGAUACAUGCAACAACCUGAACGUACUCUGAGAAUAUCAUGCUAUGAGAAAUGAGCCAGGCACAAAAGAAUAAGCACUGUCUGAUUCCAUUUCCACGAGGUACUUAAACUCAGAGAAACUGAGAGUACAUGGUUUCUGGUAGUAGUUGGCAGUGGUGGGAUGGGGAAGGGCUGCUAAUGCAGUUUCAGUUUUGCAGCAUGAAAAUAUCGGAGCAGAGUUGGUGUCAGUUGCCCUACAGUAGGAAGAGAGUGCAAAAAAGUCAAACGGUUGCAUUUUCUGGUACAUACAUUUGAUCACACACUUACAGACAAAAAAUUGUCUUGAACUACUGAAAAGUGGACCUCAAAGAGCAAAGUCCUAGGGACUAUUGGGCUGUGAUGACUGCUAUUUCAGAAGCCUCAAGUCUGUUUCAUUUAGAAUGGUGGGACUUUGAAUCCAUUAAGCCAAGAUGUACCACCACAUCCUACACUGAAAAAUAUAAGAAGGUUUGUGACCGCCCAUUGCUGAAGACAAAAGGAAAGGAUAGUGUGUUUCGAACCCCACAAAGAUGAAAGCGCCCCCCAUUUCCUGAGGGGGUGUGAGCUCUCUGUAAAGGAACAGAAGCUAGACUCUGGCUACCUUGAGUUCCUUAGCUGAGGGUAGAAUGUGCUGAUCUGUGUAAGAAUUACAGACUUCAAGGAUAAAAUACAUUUCUCAGACAAGUCAAUCAGUGGAGUUAGGAAUCCUGAUAUAGGCCCGAGUUUUGUCUCAUCACCACCCACUUCAGGCUUAGCACCCUGUACAAGACCCGGCCUGAUGAUCUAAUGGAAGGAGAAUGAGUCCCAUGAAGCUGGCACCUACUUACUUAAUAGAUACACUACCUUGAGUAAAUAUUGCAAAGCAGGGGUCCUGUAAAAAAACAAAGUAAGACUUCUCCCUGCAGAAUUCAAAGACAUGGCACAGGAUGAAAGUGUUUAGGAGGGCAUUUGUUUUCUGAGGUAGAAGGUGAACUGUUAUUUCCCUGGGGCCAUCCAACUGGACUUUGCUUUUUCACAGACCUGAGAUGCCACGUCUCACUUUUUCUUAUUUACUUACUUUUGAAUUUGCUGUGGGCCACUCCGGAGCCUCUUACCAAGCCCAAGCCUAGCUUCUAUUGUUCCUUUCAUAUUUAAGGUACUGGUAAACACAAAUAUGAUUCCUGUCCUCAUGCCCACCUUCUAGUGGAGGCAACAAAGAAGAAAAAAGGUUAACUUUACAGUGGCUUAGGAGGUGACCAGUGUUACUAUAAAUACAUAUUGCAAUAUGAGGGGCCUGGGUACAGAGUAAGGAGUAACCUUACAGAGGUGACAAUGACCAAAGACCAAUAGUAGGCCUGCUGGCAAAUACCUUUAAUCUAAGCAUUCAGGAGGCAGUGGCAGAUAGAUCUCUGUGAAGUUUGAGGGCAGCCUGGUUUCCAUUGCGAGUGCCAGGUCAGCCAGAAUUACAUAGUGAGACCCUAUCUCAAAAUAGUGAUGGUCAAAAAAUUCUAUUUAUUUUUGAAAUUUUCUCAAAGAAUUAAUCAAAAUAUGAUAAAAUUAAAAAACUUCAUGUGGCUGGGUAAGAUCAAUGCAGCAGUAUACCAGCCACAAAAAGUGUCCUGGAUGGGAGUGAGCCAGAGGGGAGAACAGUAUGGGUAUGACAGGAAGAGGAGGUAGGCUUUGCGGACUUUAGUGAGAACUCUAGCUCAUACUGCUGAGGAAGGGCUGAGGAGGAACAGAGAGAACAGAAGACACUUUAAGGACAUAACUGUGAGAACCCGGAGGCUGGAUAUAGGGGAUUGUUGCUGCAGGGAACAAAGGAGUCAAAUAGGACACAAAAGUUUUGAAUCUGGUUCAUGGCUUAAAGGAAAGAGGGCAAAGGGCCUAUAUUACAUUUAUGGGGAGUUGUUAAGUCUUGGGCCUUUCUCAGUUUGAGAGACUGAUGCUGUGCCCUUAAUGUUCCUAAGCUGAUUUUCUAUGCUUUGAGGGG